GAUGAACGCUGGCGGCGUGCCUAAUACAUGCAAGUCGAGCGAACAGACGAGGAGCUUGCUCCUCUGACGUUAGCGGCGGACGGGUGAGUAACACGUGGAUAACCUACCUAUAAGACUGGGAUAACUUCGGGAAACCGGAGCUAAUACCGGAUAAUAUAUUGAACCGCAUGGUUCAAUAGUGAAAGACGGUUUUGCUGUCACUUAUAGAUGGAUCCGCGCCGCAUUAGCUAGUUGGUAAGGUAACGGCUUACCAAGGCAACGAUGCGUAGCCGACCUGAGAGGGUGAGCGGCCACACUGGAACUGAGACACGGCCAAGACUCCUACGGGAGGAAGCAGUAGGGAAUCUUCCGCAAUGGGCGAAAGCUUGACGGAGCAACGCCGCGUGAGUGAUGAAGGUCUUCGGAUCGUAAAACUCUGUUAUUAGGGAAGAACAAAUGUGUAAGUAACUAUGCACGUCUUGACGGUACCUAAUCAGAAAGCCACGGCUAACUACGUG
rnacentral:rRNA from 1 species